UAUGUCAGUAGUGAAGCGUGUGGCUCAACCAUACUCACAUUAUUGAACUGCUAAGCUAGAGGAUGAGAGAGGUUAUUGGAAUUCCAGUGUAGGAGUGAAAUCCGUAGAUAUUGGGAGGAACACCGAUGGCGUAGGCAGAUAACUGGCUCAUUCCUGACACUAAGGCACGAAAGCGUGGGUAGCAAACGGGAUUAGAUACCCCGGUAGUCCACGCCGUAAACUAUGGAUGCUA
rnacentral:rRNA from 1 species